GCUGAUGGCUUACACUACGAAAUAAACAGUUACCAAAGGCAAUUCAUCUCAUUAUUUAUUGCUUUUAAUACGCUCGGCACACGAGUAGCGUGACGUUUGAAACAAGCCUAACACACCAGAAACUGAUGCAAUUUAUCUAUUUAUUGUGAUGCUGCACGAUGCUACACGAGACAAUUAAAUGGUUUCACCAACAACCAAAUUUUGCAUAUUCUAAAUUUUCAUUUGCAUUUGCAGCUGUCGCUAAAAGCUCCCCACGAGGCUACUGCUAUGCUAAAUUUAUCUAAAACUAUAAUUGAAAUAGCUUUGUAAGAUAUGUUAUGAAUAAUAAGCA
rnacentral:lncRNA from 1 species